rnacentral:rRNA from 1 species
GACGGAGGAUGCAAGUGUUAUCCGGAAUCACUGGGCGUAAAGCGUCUGUAGGUGGUCAAAUAAGUCAACUGUUAAAUCUUGAGGCUCAACCUCAAAAUCGCAGUCGAAACUAUUAGACUAGAGUAUAGUAGGGGUAAAGGGAAUUUCCAGUGGAGCGGUGAAAUGCGUAGAGAUUGGAAAGAACCCCAAUGGCGAAAGCACUUUACUGGGCUAUCACUGACACUGAGAGACGAAAGCUAGGGUAGCAAAUGGG